rnacentral:rRNA from 1 species
UGCUGACAUGAGUAACGACAAUGCGAGUGAAAAACUCGCACGCCGAAAGACCAAGGUUUCCUGCGCAACGUUAAUCGACGCAGGGUUAGUCGGUCCCUAAGGCGAGGCUGAAAAGCGUAGUCGAUGGAAAACAGGUUAAUAUUCCUGUACUUCCAGUUAUUGCGAUGGAGGGACGGAGAAGGUUAGGCCAGCCUGGCGUUGGUUGUCCA